rnacentral:rRNA from 1 species
GACGAACGCUGGCGGCGUGCUUAACACAUACAAGUCGAACGGAAAGGCCCUGCUUUUGUGGGGUGCUCGAGUGGCGAACGGGUGUGUAACACGUGAGUAACCUGCCCUUGACUUUGGGAUAACUUCAGGAAACUGGGGCUAAUACCGGAUAGGAUCUCCUGCUGCAUGGUGGGGGUUGGAAAGUUUCGGCGGUUGGGGAUGGACUCGCGGCUUAUCAGCUUGUUGGUGGGGUAGUGGCUUACCAAGGCUUUGAAGGGUAGCCGGCCUGAGAGGGUGACCGGCCACAUUGGGACUGAGAGACGGACCAGACGCCUACGGGAGGCAGCAGUGGGGAAUAUUGCAGAAUGGGCGGAAGCCUGAUGCAGCAACGCCGCGUGCGGGAUGACGGCUUUCGGGUUGUAAACCGCUGUCGCCGGUGACGAAGCGGGAGUGACGGUAAUGGGUAAAGAAGCACCGGCUAACUACGUG